rnacentral:rRNA from 1 species
GUUAGGAAUAUUGGACAAUGGGCGAAAGCCUGAUCCAGCCAUGCCGCGUGAACGAUGAAGGCCUUCGGGUUGUAAAGUUCUUUAGCCGAUGAUUAUAAUGACUGUAGUCGGAAAAUAAGCCCCGGCUAACUUCGUGCCAGCAGCCGCGGUAAUACGAAGGGGGCGAGCGUUAUUCGGAAUCACUGGGCGUAAAGCGUGCGUAGGCGGUUUUGUAAGUUAGGAGUGAAAGCCCAGGGCUCAACCUUGGAAUUGCUCUUAAAACUGCAAGGCUCGAAUCUCGGAGAGGGUAGCGGAAUUUCCAGUGUAGCAGUGAAAUGCGUAGAUAUUGGAAGGAACACCAGUGGCGUAAGCGGCUAUCUGGACGAGUAUUGACGCUGAGGCACGAAAGCGUGGGGAUCAAACAGGAUUAGAUACCCUUGUAGUCC